UAUUGCACAAUGGGCGCAAGCCUGAUGCAGCCAUGCCGCGUGUGUGAAGAAGGCCUUCGGGUUGUAAAGCACUUUCAGUCAGGAGGAAAGGUUAGUAGUUAAUACCUGCUAGCUGUGACGUUACUGACAGAAGAAGCACCGGCUAACUCCGUGCCAGCAGCCGCGGUAAUACGGAGGGUGCGAGCGUUAAUCGGAAUUACUGGGCGUAAAGCGUACGCAGGCGGUUUGUUAAGCGAGAUGUGAAAGCCCCGGGCUCAACCUGGGAACUGCAUUUCGAACUGGCAAACUAGAGUGUGAUAGAGGGUGGUAGAAUUUCAGGUGUAGCGGUGAAAUGCGUAGGGAUUUGAAGGAAUACCGAUGGCGAAGGCAGCCACCUGGGUUGGCACUGACGCUCAUUACGAAG
rnacentral:rRNA from 1 species